UAGGAUCCCAUCUCUCUCUCUCUCAAAAACUCGAAAAUUCGAGUUCCAAACUCUCUCUUCCCUUCUUCUAUUGAACGCUCCACGGCUUCUUCUUCUUCUCUUCCCUCAUUCACCCCCAAAUUCAUUCUUUCUCUUCUUUUCACUGUUCCUUUUUGUUAAUUGUUCCUCUAACGUAGAAGCGCGGGAGAGAGAGGCACACAUAAAAUUAACCUAUUUUCCUUUUUUUUCUUACCCCUUUUUUCUGCUCUCUUUUUUUUUUUCACUUAUUGUUCUUCUUGUUCUUGCUGUUGCUGCCUCGGAUCAAACCGGUCACAGUUGUUUUUCGCUUCAGAGAUCUCUUCUGCUCGACUUGUGUUUUUCCAGCAAAACUUCAAUUUUCCCGUGAAAAUCGACAAAAGAUGAAGAGGACAAGGGAUGAUGCUUUCUCUGGCUCUCAAUUCAAACGGCCCUUUGCUUCGUCACGUGGUGAUUCCUAUGGCCAAACCCAAGGUGCUGGAGGAGGAAGUGGAGGUGGUGGUGGUGGAGGAGCAACCCCGUCUCAGAAAUUGACAACCAAUGAUGCCUUAACUUAUUUGAAGGAAGUGAAAGACAUGUUUCAGGAUCAGAGAGAAAAAUAUGACUUGUUCCUUGAGGUCAUGAAAGAUUUCAAGGCUCAGAGGACUGACACUGCUGGUGUCAUAGCAAGGGUGAAGGAGCUAUUCAAAGGGCACAACAAUUUGAUAUUUGGAUUUAACACUUUCUUGCCUAAGGGAUAUGAGAUAACACUUGAUGAGGAAGAGGCUCCUCCGAAGAAAACAGUUGAAUUUGAAGAAGCGAUUAGUUUUGUGAACAAGAUAAAGAAACGAUUCCAAAAUGAUGAGCAUGUUUACAAAUCAUUCUUGGACAUUUUGAACAUGUACCGCAAAGAGCACAAGGACAUUGGUGAGGUUUAUAGCGAGGUUGCUACCCUUUUCAAGGACCAUAGAGAUUUGCUUGAUGAGUUCACUAGAUUCUUACCAGAUACUUCUCAGGCACCUUCUGCACAGCAUGCUCCAUAUGGUCGAAGUUCAUUGCAACGAUUCAAUGAGCGGAGUUCUACAGCACCCAUGAUGCGACAAGUGCAUGUAGACAAGCAACGUUAUCGACGAGACAGGAUUCUUGGCUCUCAUGAUCGUGAUCAGAGCGUUGAUCGAGCUGAUCUGGAUGAUGACAAAAUAAACAUGCACAAGGAGCAGAGGAAACGUGAGAAUAGGGAUAGAAGAGUCCGUGAUCAUGAUGAGAGAGAACAAGAUCUUGAUAAUGGCAGGGAUUUGAACUUGCAACGCUUUCAAGACAAAAAGAAAUCUGUCAAGAAGGCGGAAGGGUUUGCCAUGGCUUCUGACUUUCCUUCAUAUGAUGACAAAGAUGCGUUAAAGACCAUGUAUGGUCAAGCAUUCAGCUUCUGCGAGAAAGUUAAGGAGAAGUUGAGCAGUUCUGAUGACUACCAAGCAUUCUUGAAGUGCCUUCACAUUUUCAGCAAUGGGAUAAUAAAAAGGAACGAUUUGCAAAAUUUGGUAACUGAUUUACUUGGAAAACACUCUGAUCUAUUGCAUGAAUUCAAUGAUUUCCUGGAGCGUUGUGAAAAUAUUGAUGGAUUCCUUGCUGGUGUCAUGAGUAAAAAGUCUCUGUCUACCGAUGGUCAUAUAUCAAGAUCAUCAAAGUUGGAGGACAAAGAUAAAGAGCACAAGCGUGAGAUGGAUGGAACUAAAGAGAAAGAAAGAUACAGUAAAUACUCGGGAAAAUCCAUUCAAGAACUCGAUCUUAGUGAUUGCAAACGUUGUACUCCAAGCUACAGGCUGCUGCCUGCAGAUUAUCCAAUUCCCGUGGCUAGUCAGAGAUCUGAACUUGGAGCUCAAGUAUUGAAUGACCAUUGGGUAUCUGUGACUUCAGGAAGCGAGGAUUACUCUUUCAAACAUAUGCGCAGGAAUCAGUAUGAAGAAAGCUUAUUCAGAUGCGAAGAUGACAGAUUUGAAAUGGACAUGCUAUUAGAGUCAGUGAGUUCUGCUGCGAAACGUGUAGAGGAGUUGUCUAAUAGCAUUAAUGAGAAUAAGAUGGAGAACUUGGGCCGGAUUGAAGAUCAAUUCACUGCUUUAAAUUUAAGGUGUAUUGAACGUUUGUACGGUGACCAUGGUCUCGAUGUGAUAGACAUUUUGCGUAAAAAUCCAACUCAUGCUCUGCCUGUAAUAUUGACUCGACUUAAGCAGAAACAAGAGGAGUGGACUAAGUGUCGUGCAGAUUUCAAUAAAGUUUGGGCUGAAAUUUAUGCUAAGAACCACUACAAGUCACUCGAUCACCGUAGCUUCUAUUUCAAGCAACAAGAUUCAAAGAACUUGCACACGAAAUAUUUGGUGACUGAGAUUAAAGAAAUUAAAGAGAAGCAGCAAAAAGAGGAUGAUAUUCUUCAGUCCAUUGCUGCUGGAAGUAAACAGCCUCUAACUCCACAUCUUGAGUUUGAAUAUCCUGAUGCUGCAAUUCAUGAAGACUUGUAUAAACUUAUUCGGUAUUCAUGUGAGGAGAUUUACACUAGUAGGGAGUUGAUGAAUAAAACUAUGAGGCUCUGGUGUACCUUUUUGGAACCGAUGCUUGGUGUUCCUUCCCGAUCACAUGGGACAGAAAAGGUGGAAGAGAGGAAAGCAGGGCCUAAUGUUGGCAAUGCAGGCAAUGGAAGUCCUCAUGGAGACUCCAUUUCAAUUAAUUCAAGGUUACCAAAAUCUGACAAGAAUGAAGCGGAUGGUAGAGUACCUGAUGUAAAGAAUGUUCACCGGACUAGUGCUGCAGCUAAUGACAAAGAAAAUGGAUCUGUUGGUCGUGAAAAUAUCUGUAGAGAUGAACCCCCACUGGAUAAAGGGCAGACAAAUAUAGAGUGCAACGAUAAAGUCUCUGGGAUUAAUAAACAAUUUUCUGCUGAUGAACAAGGAGCCAAAAACAAUGCGUUAAUUUCAGUUAGAGGAGAAAAAUUAGAAGAUAAUCCUAGCAGGAACAACGAAGAAUUGACUCCAGAAGGCGCUGUCACUACUCCUUCUCGACCUACUGACGCUGACGAAUCCGUACCUAAACCUCAGGAAGUAAAUGCUACUUUGGUAGAGGGGUCUGAUGUUACAGCUCCAGUUACAGUGGCCGAUGGGGUACCAACUCAGAGCAGUAAAGUUAGAAGCCAUGAAGAAUCUGCUGGGCCUUGUAAAACUGAAAAGGAAGAGGGCGAGUUAUCACCAAAUGGUGAUUCAGAGGAGGAUAACUUUGUUGCUUAUGGAGAUUCAAAUGUGCAGUCAAUGUCUAAGUCAAAGCACACUAUUGAGAGAAGAAAAUAUCAGUCCAGAAUUGGAGAGGAUGAGUCCUGCCCAGAGGCUGGAGCAGGCGAUAAUGAUGCAGAUGCAGAUGAUGAGGACAGUGAAAAUGUGUCUGAAGCUGGUGAAGAUGUCUCGGGCAGUGAAUCUGCUGGUGAUGAAUGCUUCCGAGAGGACCACGAGGAUGAGGAAGAUAUAGAGCAUGAUGAUGUUGAUGGUAAGGCUGAGAGUGAAGGUGAAGCAGAGGGUACAUGUGAUGCACAAUCUGCUGGAGGAGAUGGUUCAUCUCAGCCAGAUUCAGAAAGGUUUCUUUCGUCUGUGAAACCUCUGACAAAGCAUGUUUCAGCAGUGUCAUAUGUUGAAGACAUGAAGGAUUCAAGGGUGUUUUACGGAAAUGAUGAUUUCUAUGCACUUUUUAGGCUUCAUCAACUUCUUUAUGAAAGGAUCUUGUCUGCAAAAACCAAUGCCACGAAUUCAGAAAUGAAAUGGAAAGCCAAGGAUGCCAGCUCCCCAGAUCCUUAUUUGAAAUUUAUGGAUGCAUUGUACAACCUUCUUGAUGGAUCUUUUGAGAAUGCAAAGUUUGAAGAUGAAUGCCGAGCAAUUAUUGGCAACCAGUCAUAUGUGUUAUUCACAUUGGACAAAUUAAUAUAUAAACUAGUUAGACAUCUUCAAAAUGUUGCAACAGAUGAUAUGGCCAAUAAGCUGCUCCAAUUGUAUGAGUACGAAAAGUCUCGGAAACCUGGGAAACUAAACGAUUCAGUAUAUCAUGCAAAUGCACAUGUUAUCCUUAAUGAGGACAAUAUAUAUCGAUUGCAAUGUUCCUCACCACCCUCUCGGCUAUCCAUCCAGCUCAUGGACAAUAUGAAUGAAAAGCCUGAGAUGUUUGCUGUUUCUAUUGAUCCAAAUUUUUCUUUUUACCUUCACAAUGAUUUUCUCUCCAUCCUUCCUUCUAAAAAGGAACCCCAUGGCAUUUUACUUCAAAGAAACAAACGCAAAUUUGGAGAUAUUGAUGAGCUUUCUGGAAUAACUUCUGCUAUGGAAGGUGUCAAGCUAAUUAACGGCUUGGAAUGUAAGAUAGCUUGCAGCUCGUCCAAGAACAAAGAGGAUAAUUUGGACAAAUUGAAUACAUCUUAGAUGGAGUUAAGUUCGGUUAGAUAUAAAGGUGGUCAAUGUAAUAUAUGUAAAUAGAGGGGUGAUUUACACUGAACCUUAACCUUUUUUCAAGGUUUGGCAAUUCACCCUUUUAUUUAUUAUAAGAUCUCCUAUGUUCUCGACACACAAGAUUUCUUUUUCCGGCCGAAAAGGAGAAGGCAAGCGUCACCGGAAACCAGAUCUUGUCGGCACCGGAGGGACAGAGAGGAAAGAUACCGCAGGUUGAUGGCGACCGUGUCUCAAUGACUUGUAUCUUAAUAACAUUGACUGGAACCCCAUUAGGUAACAAGAAGCAGCUUCCAGAAUUGUUCUCUUGACAAUCUAUUGAACACAUGGAAGACUCGCUCACAUUAUACUUUAAUGUUUAUAUGAGUCUUGGUGUAGCAACAAAGAAACAAAAAAAAAAAAACGUAGGAAUCUUGAGGUUCUUGAUUUUUAAUUUUUAUUUUUUUUAUUGUCAUAAUGCACUUGAAUUUUUCAUGUGAAUGUAGGGGAGGGGAAUGUACAUGUAAAGUGUGCUACUUGAUUAUGUUUAUGAGGGUCUCAUGCAUGGGUUUCACUCCUUUGUAAAUAGUCUCUGUUGCAUAAUAUAUUUGUAGAUUAUUGUUUACCAUAAUGAAUAUUGUUCUUAUUUGCCAAA